rnacentral:rRNA from 4 species
UGGGCGCUGGAGAACUGAGGGGGGCUGCUCCUAGUACGAGAGGACCGGAGUGGACGCAUCACUGGUGUUCGGGUUGUCAUGCCAAUGGCACUGCCCGGUAGCUAAAUGCGGAAGAGAUAAGUGCUGAAAGCAUCUAAGCACGAAACUUGCCCCGAGAUGAGUUCUCCCUGAGACUUAGAGUCUCCUGAAGGAACGUUGAAGACGACGACGUUGAUAGGCCGGGUGUGUAAGCGCAGCGAUGCGUUGAGCUAACCGGUACUAAUGAACCGUGAGGCUUAACCUUACAACGCCGAAG